AUAAUUUAAUUUGCCGAUCCACCAUGAAAUGAUAUAACCCAUUUGUUGUUCUCCGGAAAUGACUGAUGUGUUCUGAUACGGAAGAAUCAAAAUAGGAUACAUCCCUAACGCUAUUUCUUUUUUUUCCGUAUAAAGUCUAAGGAAAUGAUUAAAUUAAAAUAAAUAAAAAAGAGUCUUUUUUAUUUUCAUUGAUUCGUUUUUCAAUCGAUUUAGCAAUAACGAACGGAUUACUCGUAAUCCGUGUCAAUCUCAAUAAAAUGCAUAUCUAUAUAAUAUCUAUUAUCUAUAUAAUAUCUAAAUGGAUAUCAAUAUAUAAAUAAGUCCGCCUCUGUCAUUUACAGCACAACGGUUCGAAUCUAAAAUAGAAAAGGAAAUGGUUGAA
rnacentral:tRNA from 1 species